CAAGACGCCCAACCAAGGUGACCACAAUGGUAGUGAUCAUCAUGGUGCCGACACCGACGACGACGCGCAUAGGUCGCAAGGAGAUUGCGACAACGCCGCGCACGACACAGGCGGAGAUCUCGACGACAACAUCGACAACGAGGCGCAUAGUGACGACGACAAUCAAGAUGAUGGUCACGGUCACGACGACUACGCCGAUGACACGGAUGUCGAUGACACACCAGGGUCUCAGCCGUCUUCCUCAAGUGCAUCAACACCGACACAAUUUGUGUCGCCUCCUUCGCAAGCCACAACGGACUCCUCAGGGCCUCGUCG
rnacentral:lncRNA from 1 species